GCAGUCGAGCGGGGGAAGUAGCUUGCUACUGGACCUAGCGGCGGACGGGUGAGUAAUGCUUAGGAAUCUGCCUAUUAGUGGGGGACAACAUUCCGAAAGGAAUGCUAAUACCGCAUACGUCCUACGGGAGAAAGCAGGGGACCUUCGGGCCUUGCGCUAAUAGAUGAGCCUAAGUCGGAUUAGCUAGUUGGUGGGGUAAAGGCCUACCAAGGCGACGAUCUGUAGCGGGUCUGAGAGGAUGAUCCGCCACACUGGGACUGAGACACGGCCCAGACUCCUACGGGAGGCAGCAGUGGGGAAUAUUGGACAAUGGGGGGAACCCUGAUCCAGCCAUGCCGCGUGUGUGAAGAAGGCCUUAUGGUUGUAAAGCACUUUAAGCGAGGAGGAGGCUACUAGUAUUAAUACUACUGGAUAGUGGACGUUACUCGCAGAAUAAGCACCGGCUAACUCUGUGCCAGCAGCCGCGGUAAUACAGAGGGUGCGAGCGUUAAUCGGAUUUACUGGGCGUAAAGCGUGCGUAGGCGGCCAUUUAAGUCAAAUGUGAAAUCCCCGAGCUUAACUUGGGAAUUGCAUUCGAUACUGGAUGGCUAGAGUAUGGGAGAGGAUGGUAGAAUUCCAGGUGUAGCGGUGAAAUGCGUAGAGAUCUGGAGGAAUACCGAUGGCGAAGGCAGCCAUCUGGCCUAAUACUGACGCUGAGGUACGAAAGCAUGGGGAGCAAACAGGAUUAGAUACCCUGGUAGUCCAUGCCGUAAACGAUGUCUACUAGCCGUUGGGGCCUUUGAGGCUUUAGUGGCGCAGCUAACGCGAUAAGUAGACCGCCUGGGGAGUACGGUCGCAAGACUAAAACUCAAAUGAAUUGACGGGGGCCCGCACAAGCGGUGGAGCAUGUGGUUUAAUUCGAUGCAACGCGAAGAACCUUACCUGGCCUUGACAUACUAGAAACUUUCCAAAGAUGGAUUGGUGCCUUCGGGAAUCUAGAUACAGGUGCUGCAUGGCUGUCGUCAGCUCGUGUCGUGAGAUGUUUGGGUUAAGUCCCGCAACGAGCGCAACCCUUUUCCUUACUUGCCAGCAUUUCGGAUGGGAACUUUAAGGAUACUGCCAGUGACAAACUGGAGGAAGGCGGGGGACGACGUCAAG
rnacentral:rRNA from 1 species